rnacentral:rRNA from 1 species
AGUGAACGCUGGCGGUAUGCCUAACACAUGCAAGUCGAACGGCCGCACAGUAAGAGCUUGCUCUUACGGGUGGCGAGUGGCGGACGGGUGAGGAAUACAUCGGAAUCUACUUUUUCGUGGGGGAUAACGUAGGGAAACUUAGGCUAAUACCGCAUAUGACCUACGGGUGAAAGCAGAGGAUCUUCAGACCUUGCGCGAUUGAAUGAGCCGACGUCGGAUUAGCUAGUUGGCGGGGUAAAGGCACACCAAGGCGACGAUCCGUAGCUGGUCUGAGAGGAUGAUCGGCCACACUGGAACUGAGACACGGUCCAGACUCCUACGGGAGGCAGCAGUGGGGAAUCUUCCGCAAUGGGCGAAAGCCUGACGGAGCCAUACCGCGUGAGUGAAGAAGGUCUUCGGAUCGUAAAGCUCUGUUGUUAGGGAAGAAAAGCAGCAGGUGUAUCUCACGCUGUUUUGACGGUACCUAAAGAAUAGGCACCGGCUAACUACGUG